rnacentral:lncRNA from 1 species
AGGAGCACGGACAGCGAGGGCCUGGGAAACGCGUGGAACACACGUCCCGGCUCGUUUUCCUCUCCCACUCUGAUAACCUGUGUUUCGAUACGAAACGGGCCCUGCCUCAUUAUUUGUCAUCUCCCUGGAGGUGACGGAGGGCUGUUUCAACCUCAGGGGAAAAGUUGCUGUACAGAACACAGGCCAGAGUGUGCCCCAAAGAAAUCAGGCGGUGGAGUGAUUUAAAAGUGAUCAUUUUCUGUAGUCCUAGCUACUCGGGAGGCUGAGGCAGGAAAAUCGCUUGAACCCGGGAGAAGAAGGAUGCAGUGAGCAGAGAUCGUGCCAUUGCACUUCAGCCUGGCGACAGAGCAAGACUCCGUCUCAAAAAGAAAAAAAAAAAGUGAUCAUUUUCAUGAAUGCUGCCUCUAAGGUCCCUCCUGCUGACAAUGGCCAGGGCAGUGCGGAGGCUCCUCUUUGGAAAUUGUCUUCAGAGCUGAUGCAGACUCUUUUGAAAGCAGCCACAGACAUUGGGGAUGGAGUCUGGUGGUUAAGGACUUGGACUAGGAAGAUCAACUGGGCACGGUGAUUCUUGCACAGAUUUUUAUAAGGAUCCUCCAAGUGUAACAACCAUUUGGAAAACUCCGGGCCUUGAGGACAGCCAGAGAAGAUAAGUUCAACUUGCACUUUGCCAGAGCAGGGGAUCUCCCUCAGCUCCCUGCCUUCAAACCUACCUUACAGACCUGCCUGGCCUGCACCUGAGCCACCCUCUUCUUCCUUCCUAUUCCCACUAAGGAGGUGUCCCUGCUUCCUUCAUAGUGGGUCCUUCCCCUGCACCGGGAAACAGGCCCUAGAGAUGACUCCAUGGGGUGAAGGACCAGAGCCUCCUUGCCUCUCUCUCUGUCUCUCUCUCCCUCUCUUGUCUUCCCAUGAAGCUCUGAUGUUUCCAGUACAAAAUAAACCUCGCUCAGUCCCAGUCCUUCUCCAGUUCCUCCCCUCACAAGCAUGGCCCCCCACUGCUGGCUUUCCUUCCCCACCUUCCACCCUCUCCUUGGCCUUCUCCACUCUGGCUUCAGUGGCCUCCGAUGGCUACACUCAGAGCCUGGGUGCACUGUCCUUUGGAAGCUUCCCUCUGGGGCCGCCUGUCAGCCUCCUCUGAAGA